rnacentral:piRNA from 1 species
UCAAUGACCGCACGCUCACACUU